UUUUUUUUUUUUUUUUUUUUGAGACAGGGUUUCUCUGUGUAGCCCUGGCUGUUCUGUAACUCACUCUGUAGACCAGGCUGGCCUCAAACUCAGAAAUCCCCUGUCUCUGCCUCCCAAGUGCUGGGAUUAAAGGCAUGCGCCACCAUUGCCCUGCUGUAUUAUCUUGUCUUAAACUAUAGAGACCUGCUCUUUGAUUCUUUGAGUCUACAUGCUGAUUAACACUUGUGAUAGACAGCUUCACUGUAGAUGGAGGCAUCAUGAGAGUUUAGAGAAACAAAAAUCUCCUAUGCUUCCUUCUUUUGUUUCCUAACAGUCUUAUCAAGUCACCUGGCUUUUCAAAUGAGAUACUUUCCAACAAUGUAGUUACAGAAGCAAGCACUAACCAUAAAUUUAUGGUUGUGUGAGGUUCCAGUAGUGUAACUACUACCUUGUAGCUUCCACUGCAAUAUUGAGUGCCAGUGUUCCCAAGGACUGUGUGCAGCACACACAGCUGGUGAAUUAUCAGAAUCAGCAGACAAGACAUGGAGAGUGGGGAAGCUGAACCUGCAGGGGCUGCAGGCUGGCAACAUCCCAGGUCAAAGGCCCUGUGGGAGGAAACAUUUUCAGGUUUACUUUUUUGGUGUGUCUAUAAAUUUUACUCCAGAAGAUGAUGUACUUGUGUUACCAAGCUGACAGUGUUCCAGGUAAAGUGCUGUCGCUGACCCCAGAAUAAUCAUAGUACUGUUGCUACCAAAUGAAAGCUAGAUCACUUAAAUAUAUUUUAUUUGCUUUUCUGAAUAAAGAUUUCCAGAAUUCUUUUAACAAGAUAAAGCUUGUUGUUGUUUUUUUUUUUUUUAAUUAAUGUUUCUUUGUGUGCAUGCAUGCCAUGAUGUUCAUAAAAAAUGUCAGUAGACAAUUGUGUGGGUCCCAAGGAUUGAUCCCAGGAAACCAAGUGUGAAGGCAAGUACAUCUUUACCCAUUGAGCCAUGUCACUGGUGCUACAAUCUGCUUUUUAACUUCUAAUUUCUUUUCAACCAUUUGGGAUUGUUCCUGCUACUGAAUGCUUUCUCUAAGGUAAAACACACAGAUAAGCCCAACGUGUUAAACUUGUUCAGAAGUUCUUAAUAAUGUCAUAGAAAUUAUGUUAAAAUUAUUUUUUUUUUUUAAGGAGUGGUGUUAGCUGUCCCCCCCCCUUUUUUUAAGAUUUAUUUAUUUUUUAUAUGUAAGUACACUGUAGCUUCAGACAAACCAGAAGAGAGAGUCAGAUCUUGUUACGGAUGGUUGUGAGCCACCAUGUGAUUGCUGGGAUUUGAACUCAGGACCUUCAGAAGAGCAGUCGGGUGCUCUUACCUGCUGAGCCAUCUCACCAGCCCCGUUAAAAUUCUUUAUAGUCACUCAGAAUGAAUGUUUUUAUUUCUAUGACAUUAUAAAAAAUUUAAAAAAUGAUUUCCUGUUAAUUUGUGUCUUACCUGCUUGUAUGUCUGUACAGAAUGUGUGUGCCUUGUGCCUGUGGAGGCCAGAGAGGGCAUCAGAUCCUCUGGAACUGGAGUUAAAAGUUACAGGUGGUUGUGAGUUGCCAUAUGGAUGAUAGGAAUUAAACCUGGGUCCUCUGCAAAAGGAACCAAUGCCCCUAACCUCUCAGGCCCUCUCUGCAAAAUUUUAAAAAGUAGUUUUUGUACAACAUUAAGCAGAAAACUCUCCCAUCUUGAAGUUCUGUUUGGAAGCAGAGUCCUCCAAGUGGGUCAAGACUGUCAACUCAGGAGCUCCACCAGCGCUGGGCUUUCAUCCAGAGGCUGGGCAGGAAGAUGUCUGUUGUUGUUGGGCACAGGAUACUUCCUGAGUCAAGUACAUUUACUGAGACAACUUCAUUUUCUUCUGAAUUGGAUGUUUUUCUGAAUAUAAGUAAAUAGGAAUUUAGGGAGAAUAGUCCCCUCUCCCCUGAGUGCAGCUUUAGUGUUCUCCUGGGAGGGGAGGUGUGGUCGUGGAUGAGUGAUUUUUAUCACAGAGAUAUCAUAGCAUGGUGUGAUUAUGAGUUCCCAUUUCAACUUCAAUUCUUUUGGAGGGGUGGGACUAUUUUGUACUGUAUUUGAAGUGGGGAUCUUACUAAAUAGUUGGUCUCGUUGUCUUUAAGCCUCCAGACUAGCCUUCUUAAUUCCCUGUGUACUUUGUUAACGGUUUCCUGGUGUGCUUCAUGCUGAUCCUAAUUUGUACCCCUCACCCCCAGUUUUGUGCGUGGUCCUGAGCCUGAGAAACAUUGCCUCUUCUCCCGAGUGCGUGCCGAUCCAGUGACGCUCUCCCUUAGCUUCGAUGAACCAGCCUCUUGGGAAUGAUGCUGUCAUCCCUAGUGCAGUUACUGUUACCUUGCCUCAGAGUCCAGUUGCAUCAUUUUCAGAGAGUGCAGGCUCAUCCCUUGGGACUUAAUCAUCUUCUACUUAGAAAAGUAUGUCACUACAGUCCGGAGAAUUAACUCUAAAUAGAGUAUCCUGGAUAUGUUCUUUGACAAUAUCAUACACAAAACAAUGUAUCUUGAUCAUACCCCCCAACCUUUCCCUCCACUCCUUCCAGCAACUCCCCAAAACAUACUCUUUCCUCUGUGUGUGUCCCUAUUGUGUAGCCCACUGAGUCCUGUUAGUAUAGUAUUGCUUGCUGGAAUACUGACUGCUUCUGCUGUCUUGAUCUUGUGCAGAUAAUCACAAUGGAAGUGCAUCCAUGAGAGUUCCUGGUUCAUAGCACUCCCUCCCCCCAUCGUCCUAUUCUUACAUUCUUUCUACCUCUUCCUCCUUGAUGUUCUCUGAACCGUGGAGUAGGGUUUGAUGUAGAUGUUCCAUUUGGGGCUGAACACUCAAUAGUCACUUAUUCUCAGCACUUUGGUCGGCUUUGAGUCUCUGGAUUAAGUUGUGACCAUUACAAAGUGAGUUUCAGGACACCCAAGGCUAUAAAGAGAAACCCUGUCUCAAAAAACC
rnacentral:lncRNA from 1 species